rnacentral:rRNA from 1 species
UGUGAACUGCAGGACACAUGAACACCGACAAGUUGAACGCAUAUUGCACAUCGUACAACAGUACGAUGUACACAUUUUUGAGUGCCUAUAUUUAUCUAUUCAACUAUACGUGUAUGCGCGUUUCACUUCGGGUGGACAGGCGCAUGGCCCCGUAAGCACGUAUGCGUAGUGAUGUUUUCCCGGCCUUCGGUGGUCGGUAAAACAUUGAAGAUAGUCAGGCGCGUCCCGUCCGGCGCGGCGAGCGACGCGGUUGAUGAAUACAUCCCCUAGACCACACCACCCGGUUGGUUAUGUUGUAUUCCAUCACACACUCGAACUCUCGAACUCGGAUAGCAUAUCCAGUAGGCCUCAAAUAAUGUGUGACUACCCCCUAAAUUUAAGCAUA